AAGAGUCCCACACUUAACUGACUGAGCCACCCAGGCACUCCCUACCCUGACAUUUUUAAAUUUUCACUUUUGAUCCUUGGAGUCCACACCUUGAUUCAUCACUAUCCAUUUACUGAACACUUACAGUAUGCUAUAUGCUAGACCAGGGGAUACACAUCCAGAAAGCAUGCACCCCUUCUGUCAAGCUGCUCAUAUCCCAGGAGCAUAGCAGGUGUGAUAAGUGGUGUUGUAAUGCCAGAUUGCCAGUAUUCUCCGGGUACCAGAUAAGGCGGUCGGAAAUGGGCGUAGGUUUGAGGGCAAUAUGAGUACACUGGGAAAGUCUGUGGGGUUGAGGUAAGAGGUCCUCCAGGAGAAACAGAAGGUGCAACGGCUAGGUACAACCCAGGCAGGAUGGUUCUGGCAGAGAAACACAAGGCUGAGAGGGGCCUAAGGCUGUGGUGGUCUCCUUUGGAGAUGUAGAUGGAAUGGUAAGCAGGAGGUCCCUACGAAUGCCUCAUCAGCAAGGGCUUAAUAAAGUGGAUUCUGGUGCCUCUGCCCACGAAGACACUGGCAGCCUCAAGCAGAGGUGGUGUUCAGAUUUGCGUUUUCCAACCUGCCUGUCUGUAGACAGACAAGCAGGAACCUGGAAGUCCAGUUUGGAGAGUAUCGUGCCCAUGCCUGAGGGGAGGGGGUUGGACCACAGGGUGCCAAGACCCUUCAGCCCUUAGAGGCUGCCCAAGAAACCGGAGCCGAAAGAAUAGAAAUGAAGACUCGCGAGGACAAGUCCUCUGUGAUUCUGUCGCCAGGACAAGUCUCCAAAAAGCGGGACUUCCCUGGCCCCAGCUACGGCGGAGGAGGAUGAGGCACUGACUGCCGUCCUGACCCAUAUAGAAACAAGCUGAAAUCCUGCAGCUCCCAAAAGACACCUGGUACUUCCCUCUCCCAGGUCUAUUAUUUACUUAUGCAUCCUCCGCUGGAUGGCCGUUUCUAACCAUGCUGCGUCUUAGCCGCUCCUCUGACUGUCUGUCAGCACCGGGUUCAAAGAGCGCAAGAGAGCCGCGUGGGUCCCGCCCCUGUGCCGGCCACUGCGGCCUCUCGCUGAGGGUCACAAGCUCGGAGGGCAUUAUUGCGCCUGCGCGGGCGUCGGGCGGCGGUCUCGCGAUCCUCCGGCGGCCGCUGAGAUCCGGGGACCAGGCAGGGAGAGGCCACGCCCACUCUUCCCCUUCACCGCUCACGUGUUCCUGCCACGGAGCCCGGGGCUGGACUUGAGAAGGCGGAGCCGUGACUCAAGGAAGGGCGGGCGGAUACGCCGCAGGAACAUCUCUACAGGGCUCUGUCUCUUCAGGAGCUUCCCGGAGAUGCUUUACGGCUGCAUUUGCAACGCGCAGCGCCUCCAAGUGCUGGUGGGGCAGUCAGAAAGGUAGGACCGCCCUCCCAGCCGCUAGAAGAUUAAGGCCUGUGGAGUGGACCAGGAGGGGCCCGGGACAGCGAUAGUGAGCCGCGAUGAAAGCCGCUCAGGUGCUAAAUACGUGCCAAGGCCUUUGCCAGAAAGCUGCUGAAUGAAGGAGAUCAGAAUGGUGAUGAUUCUCCCACCCCAAGAUGUUCCCAUCUUGAAGGGAGGGAAAGAGGAGACAACGAGAGACUGAUCUGCACCAUGGACUAAGAGACUGAACACACAGGCAGUGGCCAGAGCAGAUGGAAAAACAGAAUUCCGACCCAUGACCUGCAGAAACCUGCCCAGCAAACCAACUCCUCAUCAACAAGAAAACACCCAGGCUAUCCAUAGGUCACAUCUGUAAGAAGACUAUCUCUAGUUACAAUUCAGAAAGCGAAACGUGAACUUUCUGUAACAAUUGGCUCAAAAUGGCCAGAACGGUCAACUUCCCCAAGUUUUGUCCACAAUGCAACUUAGAGCCAAACAAUGUGGAAGACAGUAAAUGGCCAAAUACGCACCCCCAACCAGUCACACAGGAUGCCUGGCUUCUAGGUACCUGCCUUUACAGCUUACCCAGGCAGACAGCCUGCAGAGAAGGCACAUCGGAAUCCUUCCCUUUUUCCUGCUAUAAAUAAAGCCUUCCCACCCCUCUGCCUGACCUUCAGUCUCUUUGAGAACAAGUGACCAUGGCUGACUGACUCCCUUGAUGUAACAAGCUCUGAAUAAAUAGGCUUUGCUCUUA